CCUACGGGCGGCAGCAGUGGGGAAUAUUGCACAAUGGGGGAAACCCUGAUGCAGCGACGCCGCGUGAGUGAAGAAGUAUUUCGGUAUGUAAAGCUCUAUCAGCAGGGAAGAAGAAAGACGGUACCUGACUAAGAAGCCCCGGCUAACUACGUGCCAGCAGGCGCGGUCAUACGUAGGGGGCAAGCGUUAUCCGGAUUUACUGGGUGUAAAGGGAGCGUAGACGGCUGUGCAAGUCUGAAGUGAAAGCCUAGGGCUCAACCCUGGGACUGCUUUGGAAACUGGUGAGCUAGAGUGCUGGAGAGGUAAGUGGAAUUCCUAGUGUAGCGGUGAAAUGCGUAGAUAUUAGGAGGAACACCAGUGGCGAAGGCGGCUUACUGGACAGUAACUGACGUUGAGGCUCGAAAGCGUGGGGAGCAAACAGGAUUAGAUACCCCAGUAGUC
rnacentral:rRNA from 1 species